AUGAAGGAGCUAGGUCUUCGGGAGGAGGAUCUCGACGACGUGAUUUUUGAUGAGAAGGAGGCUCCGGUCGAGGCGGCGCGUUGGAUUGCGUUGGCUAGGGUUCACUCGCCAAAGACAUACAGCCAGUAUUGGUUCUUCAAAAACAUGAGAGCCGCUUGGGAUCUUGCCCAAGAAGUUCAGUUUAAGCCCCUGGAGGAUAAUCUCUAUACAGUGCAGUUCUCCUGCUUGGGGGAUUGGGAA
rnacentral:rRNA from 1 species